rnacentral:rRNA from 1 species
UAGCAUAAUAAAUUGUUUUUUAAUUGAGAACUGGAAUGAAAGGUUAAACAACUAUUAAAUUUAUUAGGUUUAAUAGAGGAAUUUUUAUUAUAAGUAAGAAUACUUAUAUGUUAUAAAGGGACGAUAAGACCCUAGAAGCUUUAAUUCGAGAGUGUAUAAAUGAGUUAUAUUUUACAUUUGUACAAGAUAGAAUUUUGAUUGGGGAAAUAUUAAUUUUAUUAAUAAUUAUUUUUUUUUUAGGUUAAGAAAUAUUCUAAGUCUUUUAGAUUAAAAGAAAAAGGUUAGUUACUCUAGGGAUAACAGCGUAAUAAUUUUGGAUAGGCCUUAUAUAUAAAAUUGAUUACGACCUCGAUGUUGAAUUAGAAUAUCUUUAUAAAGUAGAAAUUAUAGGAGAAG